UAAGGCGUUUGAGAGAAGAAGAAG
rnacentral:sRNA from 1 species